AGGAUACACCUCGUGCCUACGGCUUCGUCCUGGAAAGAUUUAAGGGCCGUAUGCCACGGGAAAUAAUUAGGACAGACGUGUUUGGCACGUGUCCGUGGACGUCGUAACACGCCACCAGAGAAUUACGAUUGAUCGCUUUUCGCCCGAGAGUGUCGUUAUUGGCGUCCUGUUCGACGAGAUCGAUGGACUUUUCAGCCGAAUUGGCUCCGAGGCUGCGGACAUGCCUCGACGAUUGCAGGAUUUUUAAAUUCCUCCAUUGUUUCGGUCGGAUCUGACCCGGCCUCUGGUUUCUACAAUUGGGCGCAAGAGUUUGCAACACGAUAAUAAUGGGUUAGGCGUGAGUUCCAACGACUUAGGUCAAUGGUUCCAUGCUGCGAGGCUGCAGAUCAUACGUGAAACGGUGGGCAAGCGUUGCGGAAAAAUACGGAAAAAUUGCCCAACGGAAUAUAUUUCGGUCACUGGUUCGCCAACUGUACCACUGCCUCUCGAACAGCAUUUUGCGUUUCGGAGAACGUAAGACAGGAUUCUAGACUCGAUACAAUUUUCUGUAGAGAGUUUUGUGUGAACUUACGAAUUCAGGCAAUGGCUGGAUCAGCUGGAGAAAUGAAGCGGCCCUCGGCGCGAGCGUGACGAGAAUGCUUCAGCGACGAUUCGCACGGCCGAUCAGCCCAAUAUUUCGCGGGCUCGCGAAAACUGGAGCGUCGACGGCGCUUCUUCCUUUUUCGCGCUUCCGCUUUCGCCGAGAUCGAUAAUUCAUGCACACUCGAUUGACGGGGGUGCCGCGGGUAGCCCUCCCUUAAAAAGUGGAGCAUCAGUCGUAGCUGCGCGACAGCAGAAAAUCUGAAAUCGAUAUACUCCGAAGGCCUCGCGAAACUCGCGUAUUUGUGCCCGCCUUCGGAACCUUGUCAGCAAGAUCAAAGCGAAAGAAAGAUUUCUGCCAUCGACGGGGCACCGCCGAGGCCUCUUUGAAUCUCGCAUCGUAUCGGAGCCGUCUCCGUCUCCGUCUCUUUAUCCGGAGGACGUUUCCGUUCUAUUUUUAUUUUUUUUCGACGCAAUUACGUGAUCGCUGGAAAUUUCAAGUGGGCGGCAGACGCGAUCGUUCCACGAAGUAGAAGCACAACACCCUCCAUUAUCUAUAUUAAUAAGAAGUCUGAAGAGAAUCGAUCCGAAUUUAUGGUACGUUAAGACCGAUGUAGUUUAUUAACGAAACUUUGUGGCUUUAUAUCGGGGCUAUAAGGCUGUAACAUACUCACAUUCUAUUAACAUAGAGAAUAAUUUUAUUACGAUAUAUAUAUUUAACAGCUCAUCGGUUCGAGAAUAAACGCCUAUUUUGCAUGCAUCAGCAACGUAUUAUAUUAGAUUCGAAUUAGAUUGCUGUGUAGCUUGCAAUCAAAUUAUACUGUAAUUAUGCAGAUGAACGAAACUAUUUCCUUAUACGGUUCUAAGCUAACUAUGCUUCUGAUUGCAAAUUCAAUACGCAUUAUAUUUGCGUCGCGUUCCCAUUCCUGUCACGUGUUUGUAGUCAAUGUGGCUCGUGUGUAACACGAAUGCAAGUUAUGUGCGACACGAGUGUACAAUUACUCAUGCAGUAAUACAUGAAGUUUCCCAUAAGACAUUUCAAGUAAACCAGUCAAUUUUUGUUUAUUCAACAAUUUUUUAUUGUGGAUUAUUUCCACAUAAAUUACACAUUUUUUACGACUACAUUAAUUGUACUACACUUUCGGCUAGUCAUCAAUUUUGUAAAUUCUUUUAAUUUCCUCUCGACUUAUAACUUUAAUUAAGCUCUUCCAACAAAGCUCAUCGUGAAUUAAUAUAAAAAUAGUAUAUCCUGAAGGUUCCAAGCAUAUACACUUCAAGUGGCCUAACUACAUAGUUAACCAGUUUGCAGAAUACUGUCUACUCGUAACAAUAAAUUUAUAUUACCCAUGAAUACACACUCAUCUACCGCGCCACUAGGUUAUGGCACGAUCGUGUAUAUCCUGAAAAAGUUUCAUAAAAUUUUUCCCGUGCGAUGGAAGUUAAUUGCAGUGCCGAACUUACAAACUCUCAGACCCCUCGGCUUUAUGAUUCUUAGCGUAGUUUAUCAGUAAAAUUAUUUGGAGUUCGAAAAUUAUCGACUCCUGGAGAACAUUUACCGAUACGAAGUACUCCAUAAUUAGCGCGAAAGUGUUUCUAUGAUCAUUGGAAUGAUAAAUUAACGAUCCGUAAAGUUUACUUCCAAUUCUUGAUAGGAGUUUAUUAAACAGCUAUACAGGGGGGUUCACAUAAAUCAGAACUUGUAAAUAACUUUGUUUCAAAGAUACACUAAAAUGGUAACGACAUAAUUGUUUACAUUCUUUGUUAUGAAGUUUACAUAAAUUAGACUUUUCAUCUUGUUUAAUAAUCGUAUAAAGUUGUACCUCGCAUUUUUACUAUUGUAGAUUCUUAUUGCUCUUCUAGUACAUGAAUUUUCAUCUAUUUUUUCUUCUUUCUAACCGAACACAUUAUUGUUUAAGAAAGUUAUUUAGGUUUGUUCCUGUCGAUCCACUUUUCCCGUCCGCUAAACAUAAUUAAUAACCCAAUUCACGCCAACUUCGCGACUAACGACGGUGAUGAAAAAAGCCUGUUGGUUCGAGGCAUUACUUCCGAAAAUAAUCUCGGCUGGCGGAGGAAGUAAUUCCGAAAAUAAGCGACGACGAGUCGGGGAAUAAAUCCGCGGACGUCGUGACCAGGUGCAUUUGAUCAAGUUCGUGGAAAGAUUGCGAGGCAAUUACACAUUCGUCGCGGAUUGCGUGCUCAUACGUUCCACGGGUAACGUGAUGUUUUGAUGUACAUCGUGGGGCUCGUAAGCGCAUUCACGGUUCGGGUGCAUGUCGCAGACAGCGCGUACCGAGGCAUUUACGAUGGAAAGUGAUAGCGGUCAGCAGUUAUGCGCGGCCAAUGCAAGCGAUCCAGGUCAAAGUUAUUCCCAUCGUGGCAGUAAACUAUAAAGCAGUCGGCCGAUAUGAGUCUCGGAACCCUACUUUCGUCACCCUUUUUGUGUCACGAAACGACCCGCUUUUAAAUCCGAAGAGGCGAUAUCAACACCCCUCCUUUGCAUUUUCACCUAGACGCGUCGGAAAAUUCAAAGUUUAAAUACAAUGGAACCUUGAUAAUUCGAAUUAAUCGGGAGACAUGUUCAAACAGGGAAUUUUUGGGUAGGAGAAUAUUUUGUGUGUUGUAAUGUUACUGGUCUUCGUUUAUGCAAUUGAAAAAAUAGAAAGUGAAUAUUGAUAAUGACAGUGAUAAAUACUGAAAUUAUACAUAACUUUUGAACUUAUGAUAGAACUAGAAAGUGAUAUUCCGAUUUCUCUACAUUCUGUGAAGCAACGAAGAAGUGAACGUGAAACAAAACACUGAAAAACGAAACUACGUUUACUUUAUUAAUCGCAACCAAUCUUCGAUUGAUUGAGCAUCGGCAGUUUACUGUAAUACCUAUGACCCAGCGAAAUCGAAAGAUCUUUAAUAAAUUAUCUUUAAUAAGAUAAAUUGAAAUUUUUUAGCGUUCGUAUUGUUGGAAGCUUCCAUUGCCAGCCUUAGUUCCAAAGAGAUUUAAUUUCAGAUUGGAAAUAACUCAAUUACGGAAGUAAAUCGAGGAAACUUUCAGGACCCCGUUGAGAAUUAUCGUAACUGUGACAGAGACAUGGUUCUGCAGCGAAUAAUGUUAUCGUGGUACAUUCUACGAGUUUCUGGAGAAUAAAGGAAAAUGGAGAAAUAUUCUUACAUGACCAGUUGGGACAGACGUGACUCGAAUUUUCGUUGGAGCAUCAAAAUUAUUGGCCGAUUUCUAGAGAGUACAUUAC